rnacentral:sRNA from 1 species
GCCAGGCAUGGUUGUGAAUGCCUGUAAUCCCAGCUACUCAGGAGGCCGAGGCAAGGAGGAUUGCAAGUUCAAGGCCAGGGCAACUUAAUGAGAUCCUGUCUCAA